UCUUUAUAAGUACUUUUUCAUCGGAGACUUUUUUCUUCUUGUUUUGGUAAACUUGGUAAUCCGGGCCAAUGCAACCAACCUUGGUACUCGUAAACCAGUUUGAGGAAAUUAAGAUACGUGUACGAAUUUCUAAAUUGUAGUGACUAGAGAAAUCACGAAUUAUGGUCUGAUCUCUUAUGUAAACUACAAAUACAAAUACAAAAAAAAAAAGAA
rnacentral:lncRNA from 1 species